CAGUAGCCACGGUAAUACGGAGGGUGCAAGCGUUAAUCGGAUUUACUGGGCGUAAAGCGUGCGUAGGCGGCUUCUUAAGUCGGAUGUGAAAUCCCUGAGCUUAACUUAGGAAUUGCAUUCGAUACUGGGAAGCUAGAGUAUGGGAGAGGAUGGUAGAAUUCCAGGUGUAGCGGUGAAAUGCGUAGAGAUCUGGAGGAAUACCGAUGGCGAAGGCAGCCAUCUGGCCUAAUACUGACGCUGAGGUACGAAAGCAUGGGGAGCAAACAGGAUUAGAUACCCCCGUAGUCCCUGUCUCUUAUAC
rnacentral:rRNA from 1 species